UACGGGAGGCAGCAGUGAGGAAUAUUGGUCAAUGGGCGAGAGCCUGAACCAGCCAAGUAGCGUGCAGGAUGACGGCCCUAUGGGUUGUAAACUGCUUUUAUACGGGGAUAAAGUGAGGGACGUGUCCCUUAUUGUAGGUACCGUAUGAAUAAGGACCGGCUAAUUCCGUGCCAGCAGCCGCGGUAAU
rnacentral:rRNA from 1 species